CAUGCUGAGGCGGGCAUUUUUCAGAUUUUUCAGUGUCUGCGGGCGGAGUUGUUUCGUGCUGACUUAGGAAGCCGUCUGCUGCUCGUUGGAACUUGGAGGUUGGAGACUGAAGUCAGGGACGCUGUGACUCGCUUCUCGCCUCCUCGCGGUUGGUGAUGGCGACCAAGACUGCAGCACCGUGGGAACUGUACGAGGGCCUCCGGCAGCGGGAGCUGCUCCUGUCCAGCUAGAGGACGAGAAGAUGGGAGACCUACUUGCCCCACGUUGGAGGCUGGGGCCUGUGACAUCGCACCUCGCCUCACUGCGGUUGGUGGCGGCCACGGAGACAGCGCAGCUGGAGGGGCGUGAAGAUCUCAGUCAGGUACUGGACUGGGAACCCCGAAGCCAUGCCCCGCCAGACUGCCAGUGGGAAAGAACCGGUACCCAAGAGUGAGAGCGCCGCACUGCCUGCUGCCGGGAGCCUGUAUAAGCAUGCAGGGUGGCUCCUCGAGGACGCCAGGAGCCUGGGUUCAGGUCACUCGUGUCAUUGGCAGCCACACACCAGAGCUGAGGGAGGGGACCAGGCUGAGGCCAUGGACCCUCCAAGAAAGCCACAGAGCCAGCCAGUGGUGCCCAGGGACUGCAGGAAGCUUCUCCAAGGGAUGUGCGUGACAUUUGGUGCUGUGACUCGGACUGGGGGACCUCCCUUGGGAGAUCAAUCCCUUGUCCUCCUGUCUUUGCUCCAUGAGAAAGAUCUACCUAUGACCUCAGGUCCUCAGACCAACCAGCCCAAGGGAACAUCUCACCAAUUUUAAAUCGGAUUUUCUUGGCUUAGCAGCUGAAGACUGGUGCUGCCCGAUUGCCUCGAAAGCCUCCUGGACCAUCACAGAUGCUUUGGGUAACUCUUACAAUGGAGGAUCCCCAGCCAUAUGAAGACAUCCUAGCUGGACGAUCAGUUCUUGUUAAGAAUCUGACCCCCUCAAACUCUACAACCUUGAUGAACUGGACCCUACUUAGUCAUCUAUAGUACCCCAACUGUCGUCUGCUUCCAGGACCCUCCCCAUUGGGUUCACCAUUCCAGAAUAAAGCUGUGUCUGUCAGCCAGCCAGCCUGAUCUCUCCUGUUCUUCCUGGAAGUUAAGUCAGGAAUGUCAGACCUCUGAGCCCAAGCCUGCACAGAUACAUCCAGAUGGCCUGAAGCAACUGAAGAAUCACAAAAGAAGUGAAAAUGGCUGGUGCCUGCCUUAACUGAUGACAUUAUCUUGUGAAAUUCCUUCUCCUGGAAAAUGAGUCUGAGAAGCUCCCCACCAAGCACCUUGUGACCCCCACCUCUGCCCACUAGAGAACAACCCCUUUGACUGUAAUUUUCCACUACCUACACAAAUCCUAUAAAACUGCCCCGCUCCUAUCUUCCCUUCGCUGACACUCUCUUCUGGGCUCAGCCCACCUGCACC